rnacentral:lncRNA from 1 species
CUCAAUCUCUCACUCUCUGAUCCUCCAACAGAAAUAAAAAAAGAAAAUAGGAAGGGCACCCACUCUCUCUCUACUCUCUGAAAAAUAAAAAUAAAAGAUAAAAGGUCAGACUUAAGAAAGAAGAGAAAAACUUGUCCUCUUCUUCUCCACAGUGACGGCCACGCAACAGUACCUCUCUUCCUCACGUUAGAACUCUUCACGCCUCCAUCGCGCGACACCUACUCUCUCCGGCCUCCGCGUCAACCUUCACACUCACCUCACGCUAACCACCACGACACUCUUCCACCGAAAACCGCGUCCACCUCCUUCGAUUCACCGUCGAACCUCAUUCGCACACUCCGCUCCCUCUCCUCCUUCGCACACUCUUCUCCCUCCCCUUCUCCACGUGGACCCCUUCCAUUCACCUUCCUCAACUCACCGCCGGAAUCAUCCACGAACCUCUCAUGAACAACACUCUUCUGUCCGUCACCAACAUCCGCCGGAAACCGCCACUCGCACCCUCCAAAAACUAUCCGUCAAACAACAACAUCACCACCGAACCACAUCCUCACUUCCGACGCACCCUUACAAACAUUCUGAUGCCGUUCACCUCCGUGAAACACUCAUAUAACAAGAUUCCUAACUAUGACUUUUGUUUUCGCUCAAAGCUCCCACUACACAGUCUUUUCGGUAACCCCAAGAAAUUUUCUGCUAAUGGUUAUGUAUAGUUUGAAUAUUUGAGUUUCAAUUCGGCUUGGCUGUAUAUAAAUUUAAGUUUGUGAUAGUUUUGGAAUUAUACCAUUGUGUACAUUGUUGUUGAUGUUGUUUAGUUGUUUUUGCUUGCACUGUAUUGUAUCGGUUUUGUUUUCAGCUAUGAUUGCUCUUCUUCGAACCAUUUCAGGCGUGUUGAUACUAUUUCUGUUUUGCUUUUGUUGAGAAUAUGGUAUUGAUAUUGUAAAUGUUGUUUGGGUUGCUACUUCUACUGGUAGUUAGUGUUGAUUGAUGAAAAGAAUAAUGAAAAGGGAGAGAAAAAUGCAAAAGAAAGUGUAUUUCACGUCUGUGUUAUAUUUUAUGAUUUUUUUUCUCUCCAAAAUCCAUUUCCACAUGACUCGUUAUCAAUGGUUGAUAGUUAAUAUUGAAAAGUCAAACUAAUAUUUUUACUUUGGGUUUCUAAUUGUUUUUACAUAAAACUAUCAUUAUUGAUAGUAGUAUUUAAGUUUAGAAUAAGUUUCAUAUUUAGGUUCAUUAGAAUACUGAUAAGAUAGGCCCAUUUUCUACUCAUUUUGUGCAUCCUUGUUAAAUUAACUUUGUAAAUAUAUAAAUAAUAUUUGUGAUAUUAUUUAUGAUGAUAUUAUUUCAUUCAAUUUUAAGUCCUAUUAAAUUGAUGGAUUCGACUUUUACGUGUCGUUAUGCCGUCCAAAAUUUCACUACAAUUCAAUUCAUUCAUAAGCACCCAUCCACACCUCGAUCCAACAUCGAGUAUUUUUAUUCAAAUUAAAUUAAAAUACCUAAUUACAAUUAAAUAUCAUUUCAUAAUAACGAAAUGAAAAUGGGGAUGGUUUUGAGUUUUCAACUCCUCUCCUCGAUUAUUUGAAUACGAGUUCUCUUGCUCGGUUAGUCAAAUAAUUGUCAUUUCUAACUCGCCUAAGCUUAUUGAGAUCAAACUAUUUUCAUAAUAACGAAAUGAAAAGGGGGAUGGUUUUGAGCCUUCAACUCCUCUCUCCAAUUGUUUGAAUACGAGUUUUCUUACUCGGUCAGUUAGACAAUUGUCGUUUCUCUACAAACUUCUAAACCCGAUUAAAUCAAAACACUCUUAUAAGAACGAAAUGAAAAGGGAGAUGGUUUUAAGCCUUUAACUCCUCUCCUCGAUUGUUUGAAUACGAGUUUUCUUACUCGAUUAGUUAGACACUCGUCAUUUCUUUACAAACCUUUAACUAGAUUAAAUCAAACUAUUUCAUAAUAACAAAAUGAAAAGGGAGAUGGUUUUGAGUUUUCAACUCCUCUCCUCAAUUGUUUGAAUACGAGUUCUCUUACUCGAUUAGUCAAACAACUCUCAUUUUUCCACAAACUUAUAACUUAAUCAAAUCAUUUUCACAAUAAACUAUGCGAAAGGGGAUAUGGUCUUGAGUCUUCGAUUCCUCUCCUCAAAUGCUUGGAUAUGAGUUUUUUUACUCAGCCAUUCGAGUACUUGUCAUUGAUUCUAAAAAUAAAUCAACCAUACAUAAUCCUAUAUUCACAAUCACUCAGAUGAAAAAGAAGAUGGUCUAGAGUCUUCUAUUCCCUUUCCCGACUAUUAGGAUACGAGUUGUCUUACUCAACUAUCCGAGUAUUCGUCAUCCAUUCAAAACACCUUAAUCGUCAGUAAAUCCUUUUUAUAAUUAAGGAUGAAAAAGAAAGUGGUCUAGAGUCUUCUAUUCUCUUUCCCGACUAUUAGGAUACGAGUUGUCUUACUCGACUAUCCGAGUAAUCGUCAUCCAACCAAAAAUAUCUUAACACAUCAAAUCUAUUUGUCCUCUCCCCCAUGCGAUCGAAACCAAUCAAACAAAAUAUCAAACAUAUUAACUCAACUUGUCACCCCCGUGUGACCAAAACUCUUUUAAAAAAGAACGCUAUUAAAUCCCUUCUAAUGCGUACAACAAACUAGCGCUUAAGCCUCCGCCGAGAGUAGACAAGCCAACAUUUAGCCUUUAGAACGUGAUCUAAACAACUAUUCGGUAAAUGAUACCAACCAGUCGUAGUUCCCCAAACCACGAAUGCUCUGAUUUCCUUAUUGCACCAUAAGGAUACGUAGGCACGAGAUUGCGAGAUCUUGGCGAGCACAUUAAUAAAAAACCUUCCUUUUCCCCCUUCCGAGGUUACCAUCCAUCUCUAUUUUUAAUCCUUUAUCACUUAAGGAAAAAAAAACAAUAUAAGUUAACAUUCAAAUUGCAAAUUAAACUAAAAGGUUCUCGUUGAAUACAACGGACGUGAGGGGUACUAAUACCUUUCCCUUGUGUAAUUGACUCCCGAACCCCGAAUAUGGUUGCGACGACCAUUAUUUAAUCUUUCAAAGGUUUUAUCGAUAUUUUCCUAUUCCUUUAUUGGGAUAAAUAAAGUUCGAUGGAGACUCUUUUCGAACAUAAUUUUUUUCGCGACCAUCGCGAGGAAUCGUAUUUUUCGAGUUGCGGCAUAUAUAUAUGCUAAUAAAAGGUACAAAACUUAUACCAACCAAAGUUUCAUUCCAUCAACUACAAUUCUCUAUUUUAUUUUAUUUUUUACAAUUUUUUUUAUAAUACUUUUUUUAAUUAGCAAAUGUUAGUAAUCCAUUCUAUAUGCACCACAGAAAAUUUAAAGCAACAUAAAAAAAAUCAAUUAUAUUUUCAAAAUAGCAAGUCUUACAACCUGUCACCACCGAGGUUUCCGGAUAACGAGUGUCGGGACCUCCUAGAACAAGAAGAUCAGAAGAGUUACCACCGAGUUUUAUUUGUAUGUCUCUAUCGGAGAGGCAAGGGAAAAUAGUCGAUAAAACUCUCAAAAAAGAUAAGCGCACGGGAAGCGCUAGAGAUUAGAUAAGGAAUUUGUCUCGCAACCGAGAUUAAGGUUCGGGAGUCGGUUACGCAAGAGAAAGGUAUUAACACCUCUCACGUUCAGGGUAUUUCAUGGGAACCAUUUGAGUUGUUUUACAUACAUGCGGUGUAUCUGUUAUUGUUUUAUUUUUCAAAAGAAUGUGUGUGAAAGAGAGGGGUUUUAGGUUUUUUUAUCAUAGUGCUUGCCAAGGAUUGGGGCCCUUGUACCUACAUAUCACUCAUUCGGGGAUGAGGAAUCAGAGCUCCGUAGUUCGGAGUAGAAAAUGUUUGUGUGUUGGAUUGAUUUUACCUAUGAGAAAAGGGUUUUCAGAGUGGAUGCGCUAUGACACGAAAAUAAGAUUUGAUGGGUUGUGCUGAUUUUACCUUAAAGAAGGGUUUAUGAAAAGAAUUUAUGAUUAGAUUGCACUAAAGUCUAGGGGCAGAGGUGAAUAUUCUAGAUAACAAGUCAAGCGUCUUGCAUCUAAAAUAAUUAGAGUGAGAGUAGGAAUGCUCCAUUCUCACUCAUUCUCCACCACUUAAGGCUUGUGGUGCACAAUACAUAAUCAUAGUUAUUAAGUGUUUUGAAUUUGAUUAAGAAAAAUCCAUUUGACGUUGGAUCAAGGGUUUGUUUAUUUGAUUGAGAAAUGUGGCUUAUGCUACAUGGAUGCAAAGUAACCAACAAAAAAAAUAAAGGGGUCUCAUUGUAAGGUAGCCCAAGAGAAAGCUUUGUGUGUGCAAAAGUGUGACCUAAGUUAAACAUAGGAUAAUGGUCUUACAAAUAUGUCCCCGUAAGGUGGUGCCAUGAUGUCAUUCUUACAACAUGUAUGCAAGUUACAGAUGAAAUCCAAAGCUUACAGAGUAUCACAAAGAAAAUGGAAAAGGCUCCAAGCAAAGAUUCUAAAUGGAAUCCUCUAAGUCCAAAAUGAUUAAGUAUCAUGAUUUGUUUUUGGUCUUAUAAUUUUAUCAUGUUUUGUUUUAUUUUAUAAUGACAAUAAUUAAAGACAAUAGUAAAGUGUGUGUGAUAAAUUUGUACAAUGAUGAUGAUAAUGAUGAGAGCUUGAACAUAAAUGAUAUAAAAGUAAAUAACAAUGAAUAAUAACAAUGAUAAUAACAAUAACAAAAGGUUAGUAAUAAUCAAAGUUAACAAAGUUAAAGUUAGGGUUAUGAACAAGUGGAUAACUUUUGAGGAUUAUCUAUCUUUAAGUCAACAGAUUCAAAAUAUGGCGCGUCGAGGGAUACCUUAUCUCUGAUGCAAAGUAAGGAAGAUGAUCAAUGGAUCAACUUACCCUAUAUUUACAAUAAUGAAAGUUUUUCAACCUCAAGUCCAUCUAUCAAUAGAUUUACAAAAAUAAGACUAUACAACCCAAAAUUGAAAGGUUGAUUUAAGUUGUUUAACAAGUUAUAUUGAACAAGUUAUAUGGACCAGGCACAAUGUUAUCAAGUUAUAUUAACAAGACAUAAUAGUAACAAGUUAGCAAAGGGGUUAGUGUAUAAACAAAAGAGUAUAAGGUGUUAGUGGGUUAGUAUAAACCAAAUGAAAUAGGAAUGUAUCAGAUUCUCCUAUGGCUAUGUUUACUUCUCCUGUUAACAACAGUAAAUUUGAACCUUCUUCUUGUCAAACUUCUCCUUUCCCUUCUGAUUUUCUUCUUAUCAGAGUUGAAGACUUUUGACUUCUGAUAACCACCACCACUUCUCUCUUCUUGGCCUCAGACCAAGACUGCUUCUGAUUCUUCUUACUAGAAGAUGCCUUUAGAGCUUGCUCUAUCUCUCUUUAAGAGGUUCUCUCAGACAAAAACGACCGUUGUGCCUUUAGACUACUCUGCAUCUCUUCAGCUCUCAUGGCACUCAGAUCGUUAGAAUGUUCAAUUGCUACAACAAUGUAAUCAAAUUGAGGAGUAAGUGAUCUCAAUACCUUCUCAAUUAUUACUUGUUCAGAAAGAGUCUCUCCACAAGAUUUCAUCUCAUUUGUGAUCAGAAUCACUCUAGAGUUGUAAUCUAGUAUGUUUUCAUUGUUCUUCAUGUUGAUAUUCUCAUACUACUUAUGCAAAGACUAAAGCUUCGCCUUUUUCACUUAUGCAUCACCUCCAUAGCAACGUAUAAGUAUGUCCCAAGCAAUAUUUGUCAUCAUUGAAUCAACGAUCUUUUCAAACACAUUCACAUCCACACACUGAUGGAUGUAGAACAUAGAUUUCUGAUCCUUCUUCCUCAACCGCUACGUGUUCCUUUGUGCUUCAGUUGCGUCUACUACAACCGCUACAUAACUGCCAUUGACGAGAUCAAGAACAUCUUGAGAGCCAAAUAACAUACGCAUCUGAAUCAUCCAUCGAUUCCAAUUCUUUCCAUCAAAUACUGAAAGCUUUAUGUUCAAGCUACCGUUUCCACUGUUCAUCUUCGAUCUUGUGCAAUAAUUCACUCAGAUCUCACUAAACACUCGUGUUUCCCAAUCCCUCAGAAUCAAGAAAUGUGAUUCUGUUACAAUUUCAAUCAUAAAUUCAACACGAAUUCAAGAAAAAAAAUCAAUCACACACGCCUCACGUACACUCGUGUUUCCCUUGUUGUUUCCACGGGGUCCGAACCAGAGCUCUAAAUACCAAUUGUUGUUACACAAGAGGAAGAAGAUGAAGAUUAUGAAGAUGGAGAGAGAAGAGAGAUAAACUGAUGAAUUUAUAACUAAUUUUUCUCUAACAGAAUUUGAAAUUGAUUACAAAAGAUUCACACACACUAAAACUGAAAAACUAACUUUUAGUAUUUAUACAUCAGAGUCUAAAUACAAAUUCAAAUGCAAACGAAAUUACACCUAAAUGAAACUGAACUGAAUUACAAUCUAACAAUUUAAUAUCUUAAAUCGUAUCUCAAACUAGUUGAGCCACUCUUUAAUAAUUUAAAAAACGAACAAAACGAAAAAAAUAAAUAACGAAGUUCAAUUCCAUAAUUCUUUCUAAAAGGUAGAAACUUUUGUAACUUGAGAAAUUUUUAUUUUAUUUUAUUUUUCUAGUUUAAAAGAAAUGUCUAUAUAAAAUGCAUAAGGGGAUGAUGAUAAUUUUAUUUUCUUUUAUUUCCCUGUAGUGAGUCACUCAUUUGACGUUAUUAUUAAAAUUAAAAAAUAAAAAAAGAAAAAAGAAAAAAGAAAAAAGAAAAAAGAAAAAAGAAAACUUUUAUUAAGGGCCUGUUUCUUUUGUAUUUUUUUAAAAAAAUAAUUUUCUAAUAUAAUAUAAUUUUGUAUUAAAAAUUAUAAAGAAACAUUUCAUAAAAACUUAAAAAAUUUGAUUUGAGUAGCUAUUCUUAAAAUAUUUUUUUUUUAAUUUUAUUAUUUUAUUGAAAUGUUUUUUAGAUAUUACAAUUUCAAAAAAUCAUAUAAUUUUGAAUCUAUUUUAAGUAAUUUUUCAUAAAUAUCAUUUUUGAGAUACAAUUUUGUUUCAAAAAAACAUGUGAUUUCGACUAUGUUUGAUCUUCAAUAACGUAUAUUUAUGCUAUAGGAUGUCAAAAUUAGUCUUUAAAAUUAAUAUAUAUUUUAUAAAAACUUGUAAUAUUUUGAAAACUAUUUUUAUAAAAUUUAUUUUUUAAAAUACAAAAAAAAAAAGAAAUUCAUGUUUUUACAACUAAAACAAACAUGCAUUAAAUCACUCCCACAGUUGUUUAGUAAUUUUGUUUUAAAUAUAAAAAUGAAUUCUCUUUCAUUAUUUAAGGUCGUUAUGUCAUAUUUAAUUUCACCUCUAUUUUUUAUUAUUAAUUAUCUUACACAUUUUCUAUAAAGUGAUUAUUAAUUUUUUUAAAAAUUUAAAAGAUAAAUUUAUCAAAAUUCAACUUUCAUAAAAAUUUCUUUGUGCAUAUCCUUUGUUAUUACGUCAUCCACUUAAAUGAAGAUAAAUGUGAUUUUGAGUGUAAAAAAAGCAUUAAACGGAGUGUAGUUGAAUCUCUCCCAUGAAUAACUUCUUUUAAAAGACUUGCUUUAAACUCAACCGUGCUGUAUAAAAAAUAUGCCUAUAAAUAUAGCAUAAUCAGAGUCACAUUAAUAAACAUCAUUUAGUGAACUUCCUUGUUUGGUAACAUCUUUCAAUUUUCUUAUCACUAUCAUGGCUGCAAGAAAUAUGGAGGUUGAAUACAUAACUGACGACUCCAGGAGAAAGGAAACAUUCAGAAAAAGGAAGCAAGGUUUUAUAUUUUCUUUCUCCUUAAUUUCUCUAUGGCAUAUUCCGAGUAUUCAAAUUUACUAUUAGAAAUUUAACAUCAAUAUUAUUAUUUCAUAUGUUACAUGCCUUUUAACGGUGUAAUCACAUUGAAAAUUGUGAAAAAAUUGUAAACAAAUGCAUUUUUCUGUCAAUUCUCUUCACCAUAUUGGUUGUGACUUUCGACAGGUAUCAUUAGGAAGAUGGAUGAAAUCACCACCCUUUGUGGAAUUGAAGCAUGUGGUAUAAUAUAUGAUGAAAAAGAAUCACAACCAACAAUUUGGCCAUCAAAAGAUACAUUUCAUACAUUGUUGGACAGAUUUAAAAGUCUUCCUGAAUCGGAUCAAAGAAAAAUGAUGUUGGAUCACAAGGGCUUCUUGAAGCAGACUAUAGCAAAAGAUCGAAAGAAAUUAAUGAAACAAAAGCACAUCACCAAGAAAAAUGAAAUGAAUAAUUUACUUGAUCAUUUUAUCCAAACAGGAGAGUUUGAUGGAAAUGAUUUGAGUGAGAGUGAUCUCGAAGAUUUGUCAUUGCUUAUAGAUAACAGUCUAAAAGGAGUCGAGCAGAUGAUGAUGAAAUAGAUUCACGCAAAAGGGUAUUACCCCAAUUGCUCAUUGUCUUAGAUCAUAUUUCCUUUGAAAAACAUCGUUUACUGUAUUUAUGACAGUCAAAUGUAUUGGAUAUAGUGUUUAGACCAAAUAUAUUUAAGUUUUUAUAUAUGUUUCAAUCAAUUUAAUGAAUGUUAUUUUUAGUUUUUCUUUUGUCAUUAUUUGACUUUAUUUAAAUAUGUAUUUUAUUGUUAGUCAAAAUAACUUCCUGGUUUAAAUAUGUUGAAUUUGUUGAUUAAGUUUUGCCCAUGUUCUUAAGUGUCAUAUAUACGAUACUCUUGUUAUAGGAGCGAUUUUUGGUUUAUUCUCUCUAAGUUUUAGUAGUCAUUAUUUUAGUCCUAUAUAUUCAUUGCAUAGAUGUUGUGUUGGUCUUUGUUUAGUACCAAUGAAGUUCUUAUUUUUAUUGUAACAUCAAAGCUUUAUUAUAUUAUAUAUUGGUUUGUUUACUUCUUCAAGUUUUUCACAUAAAAAUCAAAGUCACGUGGUAUUGGAAAUUUCAUACUUUUUGUACAACAUGGUUAUUGGUUGGGAAUACAUUUUUCUAAUGAUCACUUUUUUGGUUUUGUAUAUUCGAUGCAGAGAUAAUGUGUUGGUUUUUAUUUGUACCAAUGAAGCCUGUUAUUUUCAUUGCAGCAUCAAAGUUUUAUUAAUUUGUCUACGUCUUCAUAUUUUCCACAAGAAAAUCAAAGCCAUGUGAUAUUGCAGCUUUCAUACUUUUCGGUGUAGUAUGGUCAUUGGUUGGGAAUACGGUUCUCAUUUUUUAUUGAUCCUUUUUUUUUGGUCAUGUAAAUUCAUUGCAUAGAUGAUGUGUUGGUCUUUGUUUGAUAUCAAUGAAGUCCGUUAUUUUUAUUGCAGUAUCAAAGUUUUAUUAUACUAUUCAUUGUAAUAUUGUAUCACAACUAUUGUAGUGAUUCUUUAUAAUUUCCGUUCUAUAUUUUAAUCAAUUUUCCUUUCAAUCUUUGAGAAAAAUAUUUAUUUUAAAAAAUUAAUUAUUUUACUUUUCAAAUUCUUAAAUACACACACAUCAAAAAAAAACAACUUACUUUAUAAGCUUUUAAAGAGUACCGAUGGAAAACUCGUUAGCAUUUUUUAUUUCUUUUUUAUGUCUUAGAGUAAAUAAAAUUUGUAUUUUUAUAAAUAAAUUUUUUAAAAAUAAAUAUUGUAGUUUUAUUUAUAAUUUAAUAUUUAAUAUUAAAUAUAUACAAUAAAUAAGAUACAUGCUUGUGCAUGGAGGCCAUCCAUAGCGGAUUUAUACUGACUGUGGUAAAAAGUGAAAAUGGUGCUCCUUUCAUUGAACACCAUCGCUCGCUCAUUCUUUUAGGGGGAAUACUAAAUGCACCAUAUGGAUUACUAUCACACCCUCAUAAAAAUAUAAUAAUGUCCCCACAUUUUAGAGAUGUAUCAACAGACGCAUCCCAACUAAAUACAUUUUUGAACAAGUCUCUAAAGCUAUGUAAAAAUAAUUAUGAAAAUGCAUCUCCAUGUAAAUUACAGAGAUGCAUCUCUGGACACUGUUUGCUCAAACGCUCCAGAAUCUUUUUUCCUUUCUCACUUCCAAAAAACACUCUCAAGUUUUUCAUUCUCUCUAAACUCACUGUUUACCGUGAAAAUUGGUAAACAAUCGUUGAUCUUCCAAAUUAUUAAAUUUGGUUACUUACAAGAUCGAUCAAAUUGAUUCUAGGACAUGUGCUAAUUAUUUGUUAAAGUGAAUUCUAAUGAACAUAAGCACUCCGACAGUGUUUAUAAUAAUAAUAAUUCAUGAAAAUACUCAAGAAAAAGGAGAUGAACAACAUAGAGUAAAGAGAAUGUUGUAAAAACGAAGAUAAAUGGAAACAAAGAUAAAUCCUUUAAAUAAAGAGAUAUUUCUGGAAAUAAAAGAUGAAUUGAAUUACUUCAAAGUAAAUGACAAUGGUGUAAAUCAAACGUACAUUUCUCAAUUUACUAUUUUUCUACACACGGAUACUUGGUAAAUUUUACAGAUUUUGUACACACUUUAAACACACAUGAUCCUAGCACUAAGACCUUUUAUUUAUACUAAUCGAAAUAACCGCUUCUAACGGUCUUUCUACCAUAUCGAGACAAAUGACACUUUGUAUGGAUGCAACUAUCCACUAUGCUCCACGUGUAUCUUCAGCAAUUUAGAUAAGAACAAAGGUUCCCACCUUCAUUUAAAUU